GAUCUUUUCGCAAUAAUUAUCGUGUUCUUCAAUAAUAUUGUCAACUCAUUUAUGUCUUUCAAAACAAGUUUAACUUAAUUCAUUUUUGCUCCUCAACCAUUUAUGGAAAAGUCUUAUCACUUGCCGUUUUCCGAGUUAUGUUGUCGUUUUCAUACAAAUUUCCGGAAAUGCACGAAGUUGCAUGUGAUAAACGUCACGGAAAUUAACGGAAAGGCAUGUGAUAACAUACCGGAAGCAGUCAAUAAAGGCAC
rnacentral:lncRNA from 1 species